UUUGCACGCCCAUCUCCUUUCUUCUUCUUCUUUCUUCUAUUCUUCUUCCUCCUUCUCUGUUCUUCUUCGUUCUUCCUUCUUUUGCUCGAGCGACAGAGAGAUGCGAGACAGAGAGAGAGAUCGAGAUACUGAGAGGGAAAGAGAGACAGUGAGACACGGAGAUGGAGGACCCGAUCAGUGGGUCGGCGACGGUGGAACCAGAAGACGGCGACGACGACGACUCGAUUUCUGGUGGCCAGAAGUCGAUUUCCGGCGUGGCAAAGUGAUUUCCGGCGGAACGCAGACCCAAUUUCUGGCGAACCCGUGCGUUGAAACCCGUCUAACCCGUGAGACCCGAGAACCCGUUGAACCCGAUCCUCCAUGAUCGGCGGCCGGGGCUGAAAUCUGGCUGUCCCUUUAGCAGUUUCCGGCGAAGACCCGUAGCCUAGACCCGCAACCCGUGAGCUCAGACCCGCGACCCAGUGACCCGAGCAACCUAGAACCCGACGGCUUGAAGCUGGUUUUUCCGGUGAAUUUCCGGCGACUUCCAGUGGCGUUUUUCGGCGGAUUUAUUGAGGAAAAUCCCCAAGGAUCGUGUUAUAAUUGGAGACUUCAAUGGGUUCUCCAAUGUAGAGUUUGAGUAAUUGGAAUCCAGUGGAAGUUCGAGUCAGGAGUCUAAUGCAGCCAAGAUGAUGUUUCUUUGGCUGCAGGUACUCGGUAUAGUUGAUGGGUUAAUAGUAGUGUGCUCGGGAUAUUAUGACUGAAGCUUGCCGCGACGGUUGUAAUUGUCGGACCACGGGUUGUCCACUAUUUGAUAGGUCAGGUAUAUGGCUUGUGACGUUUAUGUCACUUAUUCUUUGUAUGGCCAUAAUUGUUAUGUAAAUAUAGUGUUAAUAAGACUCAAACAGAUAGAUGUUAAAUGGCUCUUUGUUGUAAUGAAUUAGUUUGUUAUAGAUGUAUAAGU